rnacentral:lncRNA from 1 species
GUGUUUCUGUUCCUGUGGAGUGCAGCUGAAAUGACCGCUACUGCUCCUUCACAGUAUAUUUACAUGAGCUUCCUGUGGACAUCAGCACCAUUUAAAAUUAAGGCUGGAACACAGAUGUGGGGCUGGAAGUGGAGCAGCCCCUUUUAGCCAUGAGGCCCAAAGCCACAUGCUAAGGAUGGUGAAGCAGGGGAUAGAAAGAGCCUGUGUCUUUGCUGACUUCCUUAAGCCACGGCACCAGCCUGGGCCUGCCCUACUCUGGACAUCUAAAUGUCAGGAGCUAAGAAUCAAGUCAGUCUAGAGGUGUUCGUUGCCAUGUGGAGAGAUCCUUCCCAAGAAGAAAGAUGCUACAAAGUGUCCUGGAAAUCCUCUUUGCCCAUCCAGAUCCACCCUCCCUAGCCUGCUCUGUACCUCAGGAAGCUGCUUUUCAUGGUUCACAUAAACCAGGCUCCUGUACCCUCCAGAUAGGUCCAUCCUAUGGGUGGUACCAGCAGGAGACCAGAGAGAUGAAGGAGGGAAAAAAAGAACAUUAGGGGUUGAAUUGUAUCACCCCAAAAUUCAUAUGGUGAAGUAUAACCCCUUCGGAAUGUAACCUUAUUGGAAAUGUCAGAGGCACGUGAACCAGAGCAACUCCAUCUUGAAUAGGGGCUGGGUAAAAUGAGGCUGAGACCUAUUGGGCUGCAUUCCCAGACGGUUAAGGCAUUCCAAGUCACAGGAUGAGAUAGGAGGUUGGCACAACAUAUAGGUCAUAAAGACCUUGCUGAUGAAACAGUUGCAGUAAAGAAGCCAGUCAAAGCGCACCAAAACCAAGAUGGCGACAAGAGUGACCUCUGGGCAUCCUCACUGCUACACUCCCAGCAGCACCAUGACAGUUUACAAAUGCCAUGGCAACAUCAGAAAGUUACCCUAGAUCAUCUAAACAUGGGAGGCAUGAAUAAUCCACCCCUUGCUUAGCAUAUACUCAAGAAAUAACCAUAAAAAUGGGCAGCCAGCAGCCCUCGGGGCUGCUCUGUUUAUGGAGUAGGCAUUCUUUUAUUCCUGCACUUUCCUAAUAAACUUGCUUUCACUUUA